UACGUAGGGUGCGAGCGUUAAUCGGAAUUACUGGGCGUAAAGCGUGCGCAGGCGGUUUUGUAAGCCAGAUGUGAAAUCCCCGGGCUUAACCUGGGAAUGGCAUUUGGGACUGCAAGGCUGGAGUGUGGCAGAGGGGGAUGGAAUUCCGCGUGUAGCAGUGAAAUGCGUAGAUAUGUGGAGGAACACCGAUGGCGAAGGCAGCCUCCUGGGCCAGCACUGACGCUCAUGCACGAAAGCGUGGGGAGCAAACAGG
rnacentral:rRNA from 1 species